rnacentral:rRNA from 1 species
AGAGUUUGAUUCUGGCUCAGGAUGAACGCUAGCGAUAGGCCUAACACAUGCAAGUCGAGGGGCAGCACAUGAAGUAGCAAUACGGAUGGUGGCGACCGGCGCACGGGUGAGUAACGCGUAUGCAACCUGCCUACAACAGGGGAAUAACCCGUUGAAAGACGGACUAAUACCCCAUAACACAGGGAUCCCGCAUGGGAAUAUUUGUUAAAGAUUUAUCGGUUGUAGAUGGGCAUGCGUUCCAUUAGCUUGUUGGUGAGGUAACGGCUCACCAAGGCAACGAUGGAUAGGGGAACUGAGAGGUUUAUCCCCCACACUGGUACUGAGACACGGACCAGACUCCUACGGGAGGCAGCAGUGAGGAAUAUUGGUCAAUGGGCGCAAGUCUGAACCAGCCACGUCGCGUGAAGGAAGACGGCCCUACGGGUUGUAAACUUCUUUUGUAAGGGAAUAAAGUGUAGUACGUGUACUAUUUUGCAUGUACCUUACGAAUAAGGAUCGGCUAACUCCGUGCCAGCAGCCGCGGUAAUACGGAGGAUCCGAGCGUUAUCCGGAUUUAUUGGGUUUAAAGGGUGCGCAGGCGGGAGAUUAAGUCGGCGGUGAAAUUUUGCAGCUCAACUGUAAAAGUGCCUUCGAAACUGGUUUCCUUGAGUGUGGAUGAAGUAGGCGGAAUUUGUGGUGUAGCGGCGAAAUGCAUAGAUAUCACGAGGAACUCCGACUGCGCAGGCAGCUUACUAAACCAUAACUGACGCUCAGCACGAAGGCGUGGGGAUCAAACAGGAUUAGAUACCCUGGUAGUC